rnacentral:rRNA from 1 species
ACGCUCGACACCUACGGGAGGCAGCAGUGAGGAAUAUUGGUCAAUGGGCGCUAGCCUGAACCAGCCAAGUAGCGUGAAGGAUGAAGGCUCUAUGGGUCGUAAACUUCUUUAUAUAAGAAUAAAGUGCAGUAUGUAUACUGUUUUGUAUGUAUUAUAUGAAUAAGGAUCGGCUAACUCCGUGCCACAGCCGCGGUAAUCUGAGCGGGCUGGCAAGC